rnacentral:rRNA from 1 species
GAUGAACGCUGGCGGCGUGCCUAAUACAUGCAAGUCGAGCGAACGGAUGAGAAGCUUGCUUCUCUGAUGUUAGCGGCGGACGGGUGAGUAACACGUGGAUAACCUACCUAUAAGACUGGGAUAACUUCGGGAAACCGGAGCUAAUACCGGAUGAUAUUUUGAACCGCAUGGUUCAAAAGUGAAAGACGGUCUUGCUGCCACUUAUAGAUGGAUCCGCGCUGCAUUAGCUAGUUGGUAAGGUAACGGCUUACCAAGGCAACGAUGCAUAGCCGACCUGAGAGGGUGAUCGGCCACACUGGAACUGAGACACGGUCCAGACUCCUACGGGAGGCAGCAGUAGGGAAUCUUCCGCAAUGGGCGAAAGCCUGACGGAGCAACGCCGCGUGAGUGAUGAAGGUCUUCGGAUCGUAAAACUCUGUUAUUAGGGAAGAACAUAUGUGUAAGUAACUGUGCACAUCUUGACGGUACCUAAUCAGAAAGCCACGGCUAACUACGUG